ACAGAUUCAGCAGCCUCGCCUCCUGGGUUCAAGAGAUCCUCCCACCUCAACCUCCCAAGUAGCUGGGAUUACAGGGGUGUGCCACCACGCCCAGCUAAUUAUUGUAUUUUUAGUAGAGAUGAGCGUUUCACCAUGUUGGCCAGGCUGGUCUUGAACUCCUGAGCUCAAGUGAUCCACCCACCUUGGCCUCCCAAGGUGCUGGGAUUACAGAUGUGAGCCAGCAUGCCCGGCUGCUUAACCUGUUUCUAGGGUGCCACAGACAGAGCUCAACUGGACUAAAGCUGGGCCUGAAACCCAGGCCUUGGGCAAUAUUUCAGCCUUUCUGAGCACUAGUUUCCUUAACCAGGGAGGGAGCUCGUACAGCUCCUUCUGAGGUCAGGACAGGAGGCACUCACUCUGCCUGAACACUCGGCAGCCCCUCGUGGUCCCCAUCCCAGCAGCCCAGGGUAGGGUGUGGCCUUACUGUCCCCUUCCAUGUUCUGCACCACAGUCAGGCUGAGGCUAGCGGUAUCCAGCUCGGUGGCAUCGGCCUUGAAGCUGAAGGUCUCAUUGUACACAGGGUUGAUGGAGCCCAGCACAGCUGAAGUCUUCUUGCACUUGACAAACUUGUUGUGGUUCAUCAGAGACACUUUGACAAACACACCUAGGGAACGAGGGAUUGGAUCAAGCUGGGGCGAGAUAGAGUGGGGAAGUGAUGAGCUAAGAAAAAUUAGCCUGCAAGCAUGACGUGUCGCACGUCAGCAAGGCUGCAGCCUUGGAUUCUGAUGUCUUGAGAAGAGCGAUUCACCUGUGAAUUCUCACAGCCCUGGCCUCAGAAAGACGGCCCGGGACCAGGCCCGAUGGCACCCCUCUUCCCAGCUCUCAGCCAGGGCGGAAGGCACAAGUGAUGGCCCUGGCCUCCGCAGUCACACUCCUCCUGAAAGCUGACUGGCUGAACCUCACCUCUUGGCUAGCUUGCCACCCAGCUCUUGAGAACAUGUUUGUCCAAGGCCUCUUGGCAGGUCUCGAUGACUCCUUCCCCUAAGGGCCCCCAGUCACCUGCUAAGGCUCCCAGGCCCCUGUGAAACUGGCUCGGUGCCCCAAUAGACUCUCCACCUCCAGACCCUAAGCCGGCCAGCCCAGAGUGCAGCAAGGCACCACACCUACCCUGUGAGGGCACUCGGGCCCCGCGCUGGCCUCUGACAGCACAGGAAGCUUCUGCAUUCACGCUGAGGCCUGUCUUUUGCCUUCCUUAGAUAAACUUGCCAGAAACCCCAUAGUGCUUCAGGCCUUUGGGAUAAUUCCCCUGAGCCCCAUAGGCCAGGGCCUGGCAUUCAGUAGUUGCUCUAAAAUUGUGUUUUCACCCACUCUCUUCCAGGUAGUCAGGACAGGGAAGCCCAGGCUUCUGGUCACCACUCACCAAAUCUCUCCCCUGCCCCUCUAUCAGGGAUCAGCUCCUAUAGGCCUUAACCUAGCAGACUAGGUAAAGCAGAGCUGGUGGCAUCAAGGGUCCCGGGGGCUGCAGAGCCCUGGCUGGUACAGGAGGCUGGGCUCUCCUGUAGGUCUGCACCUUCCCAGCAACGCGGAGGGCACCAGACCCUGCCUGCUCCAGAGGCUGUACCUGAAAGAUGAAGUGCUCGUCAAACUGCGGGUUGGAGGUUUUGCGUUUGGUCUUGGAUUGGAGGAAGCGCCGCUCAUCGGGCAGCAGGUAGAGCUUCACCAGGGGGCUGCAGGUCUCCGAGGGGGCUUGCAGGUGCUGUGCCUUGAUCAAGCCCACCAGCAGCCGCUCAGCCUCCUGCUCAUAUUCCACCGAGAACCACAGCCGCCCCAGGCAGCCGUCGGGGAAGUCGGUCUCACUUUUGUCCUCCGGGAACUUGUACAGCUCUGGGUUGAUGGCCCCCACCAUACAUGCAUCUCCUAUGACAGAGGGUGGGAGGGCUGGCAGGCCAGAGGAAGGCAGGGGCAUGGGAGACAGUGGCAAGCUCUGGGCACCCAUCCCCAUCCUGGCCCAUCCGUCUCUGCUGAGCCUCAGCUAGCCUGACCACAUCUGCCCCACUCUCCUCACCAGGCUAAACACAUCCCCUCUCUCUGGUGCAGCUCCUCCAAGAAGCCUUCUCACCAUGAAGGCAUUGCAUGGCCAGGCUGGGGAUCCAGCAGAGUCCUGCCCCCUGGGAUUGGCCCCCAUCCUUGGAGGUCAGGACCUGUUUCAAGGACACAGUGCCCAUCACCUGGCCUAGCCCCCUUCCAUGGCGUCUAGGGAAUGACUCAGCGAUAAAACAUUGCCUUUCUUCUUCCUCUUCAAAUUAGAAGGGCCAAGGUGAUUAUUGGGUGGUUCCUGUGAUGGUCUCUUGGUAGAUCUUCAGGGCAAAGAGGUGGCAGAAAGCUGUGUUUGCAGCCCCUACCAUUCUGUCCUCUUGGUCAACCAACCCAUCAUCCUAGAGUGGGACCCAGCACAAGUUCUGUACAUGGCGUGCCUGGGUUCCAAUUCCAAUCUGUUGCUUACAGCCUCAGUUAAGACUAUGUAAAAUGGGGUGAUAAUUCCUCCCCCUCAGAGUCAUGGUGAGGUCUCACUCCAAAUCAGCACCCAAGGCCAUAUCUUACCCUCAUGGGGUGCAGCAAGCACUUCAUAAAUGAAAGCACCCAGAAAGAGUGGUCCCUGGGUGGUCCCUGGCAUCCCUGGCUGGUUCAGGUUGUGUUCCGGAGCCAAGCUGGUGAAAGCAGAUGGGGCCACCCGAGCAGACCCUGACCUCUGGGCAGCCCUGGCAAGGACACUCACCAAGGCCGCCGCUGGAGGUGUGAGGCAGCAGCUCUGAUGCCGGGCAGGGGUCCCAUGGGGCAUCGGCCCACUCUCCACUGUGCAGGGGCACCCAAUCUCGGCCUUGAAGGGUUGGGGGCACCACGAAUGGCACAGCUGGUGGCCUGUCCAGAGUCAGGGAGACAACAUGUAGGUGGCAAGUCAAUGGUGUGGUCUCAGAGCGCUCAGCCAGGACGGUUGAGCACCAGGGGCUGGAGGAAGAAAAGCCAUCGGGAGCCAGGAGGAGGCCAGGGCACCAUUUUCUGGGCCCAUACCAGGCAACACACACACACACACACGCACACACACACACACACACACACACACACACACACACAGCAGUGGGAUUUGAAGAAGGAACACAGCACCUGACAGUGUCAGCCAGUCUGGGUUUGGAUUCCUGUUCUGCCACUUACUAAUUGUGUUCUCUGGACCUGUUGCUUAUGUGCACUGAGCCUCAGAUUCCUCACCUGGAACAUGGGUUUCAUAACACCUGCCUAAUAGCUGAUGUGAGGUUUCUGGGGUUUCUUUGUGAUAGCUCCCAGCACCGAAGCAGCAUAGAAGAGGCACCCCCAUAAACAGAACUUUCCUUUUCGACCCCACCCUGAGGGAAAUUCCAGGGGCGCACUUGGCCCCACAUCCUGCCUCACCUGCUCAGUUGGGUCCUAGCAUGCGGCUGGCAGGGCCUGUCCCGCUGCCCACUGGAGGCAGCUGUGGUGGCCAUGGCUGGUGUCCCAGGCAGCUCCUCAUAGGUGAGGGUGGCACAGAACCUUCUCCACAGACAGCAGCUUGCCCCGAUCAACAGCAGCAGCAGCAGCCCCCCGAUGGUGCCCCCAAUCACCAGGGCCAGCUGCUCUGGGGGCAGAGACCACCAGUACUAUGAUGCCUGCCUGGGAAAGCCACUCUCCCUCACAGCCCUGGCCUGCUGGGGCAGAACUAGGGCAGCAACCCUGCCUCUGGGUUUGAUCUCAGGAGUGAUAGGAGCAGGCCUGCUGGGGAUGGGUUCCGGGAGGGAUGCUGCUGGCUAGGUUCCGCCAGCUCUCAGAGGAGAAGCCGUUUACCCCAGGGUCUGAGAGCCCUGGGCAGAACCUUCUAGUUUUCCUUGGAAAACAGCUGGCCCUGCCCUUGGGAUUCUGGCUUAAAGAAGCCAUUUCCUUGCGCUUCUGAGUAGAAAUCAAACCUGCCCUCACCAGAACCUCCAUAUCCCCUGGGCUCCUGUUGAGGCCAGGAGGGGAGCUGGGGUGUGGACGCAGUCAGUUAAGGAAAGCCCUGAAAGGUACCUUCCCCCUGGUCUGCAAUCAAACCUCUACCCUCUGGGGCCCUGGAACCUGCUGCAAGGCUGGACUCUUCUCUAACACCCGCUCCCUCCCCUAGCCCUCUAUCAAGGUGAGCACGCGCUUAGGGGAGUUGGUGCGACGCGGUGGACGAGGUGGGGAGGAAAAGGGGGCAAGACCCCGUUGCUGCUGGCCCUCACACGUCCGCAUUUGCGGGACCUAGGAGGCUUCGCCCCGGGGGUGCUCAGACGCUGGGUUCCAACCGCUGGCCACCUGGGGCGGGCCAAAAAGGUGCCUCCCUUAGGGUGACGUGCGGCCGCGGGGCAUUCAGGUCUCAGGGAUCUGCACUGGGUGGGGUGGUGAGAAGGCCGGACCCCCCACACCUCCUAAGCCGCAACUGACCGCGAAGAGCGGGCCUCAGCGUCUACUCCAUCCCAGUGCCCCUCCAAGAGCGCGCCGAGGCCGGGCAGGGCAGGCGCUGCACCCCAGCGGGGGCGGCGGGGCGGAGGCAAGUGCUGGAAGGGUCGCAGAGGGGCCGGGGCUGGGCUGGGGAGGCGAGGCUCGCUUACCCGCCAUGGGGCUGCUCCCGCAGGCUGGUCUCGCCGGUCUGGGCGGCUGGGGCUGGGCUGCCAGGCCGUCUCUUAAAGCGCCGCGGGGCGCCGUCGGGCGAGCACAGGGGCGGUCCGUGGUGCUGCUGGUGCCCAGCUGCGGCGCGGGGAGCCGCGCAGUGCACGGCAGGGGCAGGGACCCAGCGCCCCGAGGCCGCAGUCCCGCCCCAGCCCGUCCCUGGCCCAGGCCCAGGCCCGGCGGUGGAGGGGCGCAGAGCCGACCGUGAGCUCCCGGAAACCGCAGGGCUCCAGCCAGGGCGGGUCCCGGGCGCCAGGGGCGCCAGGGGCUCCCUGCGGCUUGGGGCAGGGUGGGGUGAGAGUACCACCCCCAUCCCGGAGAGCAGGGCUACAGCCUUCACCGCCGCGUCUGACACAGGGCUCCGCACCCGACCCCUCACACCUGGUGGCCAGGACUGAGCCCCCGCCCUCCCAGAUCCUCCUCAAGCCGAGGCCCCUCCAGCCGCAGCUCCGACCCCGGCUCGGGGGAGCCUUCCCGGAUCCCGGGGUGGAGUCUCCGCGCGGGUCCCCGGCCCCAGCGCUGCCUGCCUGAUGGCCUUGGGCAGGGAUGCGGCGCUCGCGCACCCGUUCGCUCUCAGCGGACAAACCGGUCGAGAGCGCAAUUCUGGAGCGGGUUCCAGAAGCUCCUGGGUUCCAAUUCAGGCUCCUCACUCGCCAGCCCUGCGAUUUGGGACAACUUAACGUUCGUAAGCUGGGUUCAGUCUUCUCAAUUGGGUUAAUGUCCGUGAGGGGCUCUCGUAAGGGCGGCUGGCCUGCCGGUAACUUAAGAAGCAUGUAAAGAGCACUUAGAGCGGAGGAGCGGCGCGGCCCAGCCCCUGUUACGGUGGUUAUCGGAUGGAGGCCAGCGUCGCCUGGGUCCCCUCUGUACACCCAGCGCCUAUUAUUAUGGUGAUUAUUAGAACGCAGGGCCCGUGCCCACUAGUCCAGGCUGGCGAACGCGCCUUGCGGGAAAGGCGGGAGUAAGGUCGCUGCGUGUCCUCUCUGGUCACACCUCGGCGCGCCCUGGUCGCGCCCCUAUGGUUCCCCCGCCGAGGCCUCGAGGCGUCUGAGUGGGGAGCGAAAGGAAUGUGUGUAUCUGUGGUGCAGGGGAGUGUGUGUGUGUGGGGGGGGGGAGGGGGUGGUUGUGGGGGAGUGCGUGUUUUGGGGGGAUGGACCUUCUCGUUUUACAGCCUUGAAGGUUAUGUCCAGAGUCAUAGCCUGGGUCCCACACCCCCGCGUCACCUGUGCCUGUCCUAGGGGGCAGUCAGUGUGCGUGAGGCUCCACCCUGCCUGGGCUUUGGCUCACCUAAGGCGAGGAGGGUGGUGAACUGGGGUGCCCCACUGGGCCGGGUCUGGGAGCCCUCAGCGCCAGGGUGCAGAGGCCGCAGCCACUCCCCUUCUAGGGUCUGGGCGGUGGGGGCAUGAGAAGGCGGAGACCCAGGCCACUUCACCCAGUAACUGUCCUCAGCUGUGCGCUUAACUGGCGAGAUCUCCGCUCUACUUGGAGACAGUCUGGGGUGUCUGGAGAAUCCUCCCCCACUUCUGCUUACCCCAGGUCGCUGUGGGAGCAGGUGUCUCAGGAAAUGGGGCCUGGGUCCCACCCAAGGCCUCGGGUCUGAGUUAGAUGUCUGUAUGUUUGUUGUUGCCCCUGCAACAAAGUACCACAGAUUGAGUAGUUUAAGCCACAUGCAUGUUAUCUCACAGUUCGGGGGGUCGGGAAUCUAAACUGGGUUGGCAGGGCCUGUGCCUUCUGGAGGCAAGGGAGCUGUUUCCCAGCGUUUCCAGCUCCUAGAGGCUGCUAGCUAGUGGCCCUUUCCUUUGUCUUCAAAGCCGGCAGCACAGCCUUUUCUAACCUCUCCCACUCCAGGUCAUUUCACAUCAACUCUUUCUGCCUCCCUCUUGUAAGUGUGAUACCCUACCUUGUUUUAACCUGAAUUGACUGUCCCUUAGCUGAGAGAGCCAGACACACUCCAUUUUGGCUCCUUCACUUGCAGCCCCUUACCCACCCCCCUUCCUCAAGGACUUAACUUGUGCAAGCUGACUCCCAGCACAUCAAAGAAUGCAAUUAAUGGAUAAGAUACUGUGGCAAGCUAUAUCCGCAGUUCCCAGGAAUUUGCCCAGUUGAUAGUACCCUAAGCCCCCACAUUUGUGUCCGGUUGAUGGUACCCAAAGCCCCCGCAUCUAUCGCCUUGUGAUGGAUUUAAAACCCCUGCACCUGGAACUGUUUGUUUUCCUGUAACCAUUUGUCUUUUAACUUUUUGCCUGUUUUGCUUCUGUAAGAGUGCUUCAGCUAGGCUCCUCCUCCCCUUUCUAAACCAAAGUAUAAAAGAAAAUCUAGCCCUUUCUUCAGGGCCGAGAGAAUUUUGAGCACUAGCCGUCUCUCGGUUGCCGGCUAAUAAAGGACUUCUGAAUUCAUCUCAGAGUGUGGCGUUUCUCUAUAAGAGGCUCAUCAGAUAAUCCAGGAUAACCACCACCCCCAUCUCAAGAUCAUUAACUUAAUCACACCUGCAAAGCCCCUUUUGCUAUGUAGUCACGGGGUUGGGGAUGAGGACUUGAUAUCUCUAGGACCAUUGUGUGGACCAUGUUGUCCAUGCAGUACCCUGGGAGGGGUGGCUUACAUUUCCCCUUCCUCUGUCUAGAGUUCAGUGUGCCUCAACACUGGACUCAGGCAGCUAGCAAGGCUCAGGGGACCCCUACAUGGAACCCGUCAGCUAUCUUGACCCCUUCCCCCAGCUGCCAUGCACCCCCACCUGACCACCCCAAUGGGGCAUGGCAUCCACACCAGCUGCCUCCAUGAUUGCGCCCGAGCUGUACUCAGGCUGUUCUGGGGGUGGAGUUGGGUAGUGGGAUGUUUUUUGAAAAGGGAAUCCCUUCUGGCACUUCCUGAGUGCCAGGCCCAGAGCUGCCAUCUCUCGACCCCCAUGCUGUGCUUUUCCAAAGUCCCCAUCUUUCUCUGUGUCACCAAGUCCUGACAGCUGUUCCUCCUCUGUCCAUCUCUAUCAUGGCAAAAAACCUUGCCCAGCCCUCCAUCACCUCUCAUCUGGAGCUCUGCAUGGGCCUCCUCUCAGCUCUUCAGAUUCCAUGCUGCACCCACUCCCCUUCCCAGCUGUUGUCUUCCAGGCUCCCCUCCCAUUCUCAUCCCCCCCACCACCCAUCUCUAUGCAGUGCUUGUGCCCAGACUGAUGCAGCUACUUCCACGGCUCUGCGUAUGCACUGGGCUCUCCCACCAUGCUGCUCUCUCCCUGUCUGAAAUACUCAAUGCCCCUCCCACCCUCCUUCUCCACUGCUCAUGUUUCAAGAUGAACCCCCAGCAUCUUGCCUUCUGUGAAACCCUUCAUCAUCCCCUCCUUGUCCUCAUGGUCCUUGCAGCUACCAUGCCGAAUAUGGGACUCUGUGCCUGAGACUGCUGCCUCACUCUUCCUGGCAGCCGAGGGCCUCCAUGAAGGCAGGGGGCCGUGUCUUAUUCAGCUUGGCAUCGCCACUAUCCACCUCCAGGGCUGAGGCUGUGCUGAAUGGCAGAUGAAGGGCUCUUGCCAUUGGGAUGAGCUGCCCCAGCUUCUGCCCACAUUGUCCAUGCAUCAUACACAUCCUGGGCUCACAAUUUAGGGCCCAACAGGAGCUCCCUGCCCUGGUCCUGCAGACCAGCUUCUGGGGUCUGCAAAAUCACGUUGUCAGCUCUAUCUGCAAAAUCCUUACACUGCCAGCCAGCCCACUGAGUUUUGAGUCAAUCUUCCUCCACGGGAAGAUAAAAGCAGGUGGCAGGAGGGAGCUCAUCCUUCUUGCUGCUCCUGAUGUUCUGAGCAUUGAGAUGCAGGCCUGAUGUACACGAUCCCAUGGAGCCCUGCCUCAUGUCUGCCCUGCAGGGUCAUGACCUCCUCCUCAGAUGAGGAAACUGAAUCAAAGAGGUUUCCUGGCCCACCCACUAAGUGGUGGAUCUAGGCCUGGCACCUGGCUCCCUCGUUCCUUCUUCACCAGUGAGCAGCUGUAGGGCAAGGACCCAGGAGACCCUCUCCUGUGGCGCUGACCGUGAAUCAGGCAAAGAGCCACAGGCACUUUGGGCAGCCUCCCCUCCAUCCACUGCCCGGGGGCUCUGAGACCUGGCUGGCCUGGAGCCAGCUCCCCAGAACAGAAAGGCAUCCAGGGUCUGGCAGCAGCUCUGGCUCUGCUUCCUGUUUUCAGACCUUGUUCUUCCCCGUGUCUGUGGAGCUGGGAAGCCUGGAAACAGCAGCAGACAUGGGUUCUGUCUUUCAUGGCCAAGCGGAAGUUUUAUUUCCAUGGCAAAAGCACUUCCAAGGAGGGCUGCAGGAAGUCCAAGAGUUUAAAGACCUGCAAAUGCCUGCAGGUGAUUAAUAAUUCAUUGCAGCAGAUGAUUACGAGAAAGGCCACUUUCAAUUAACCUUAAGAAUCAUCCCUGUCUAAGGAAGUGUCAUCUCUCAUCACUGAGGAACACAGAGGCCAUAGCAGGAUAAAGGCCACGCUGAGAAGCAUGUGGAAGACUGUGUUUCUCAAUUCAUGCAAAUUGCACCAGGUCAGCCCAGGUCCUUCUUUGUGAGGAGGGGGAGGGUUCCCCUGCCAGCAUCCUGUCUGCUCUUUGGUUCUGCUAUGGCGGCCUCAGACUUAAUUUCCUCCAGCCCCUUCUUUUGAGGAGCUUGGAGGGAGUAUCUUUCCUUGUUGGAUCAGAACUUCUCGUCCCCCACUGAAACAUGCUGGCUCCAAAUUGUGUCUCCUCCUGCAGACAGUCACUCCGACUGGCAGGGUGGGCUUGGGCCUGUGGCUCGCUCCUGCCCCUGGGCGUGGUUUCUGCUUCCUGCCCUGCUGCUCCCCUGCCUGGCAGGCCUGCUCCCCUGCCUCCUCUCAACCAGCACCAGAACUCUGCCUUCCCUCUGGAGGGAACAACUUCCUUCCCCUUCCCUGUCCACACAGUACCUGGCACUCCCCUACUCACCCCUAUUCUAGCGCUUUGUCCAUGACCCAGGCCUGGCUGCUCAGCCUAGUUCAUUUCUGGCUGCAGUGAUAGGUUCAGGGAUGUCCCUGUGACCCCACCCCCUGCCCCCGCGAGAGGCUAAUCAGGAUCAACACUGGAAUUUUGUGGGAUGUACUGGGGAAGAGACACCUCCUUUCUGGCAGGAGUUGUUGAGCAGAAGGAGC
rnacentral:lncRNA from 1 species